CAAUCGGCCCUUUUCAGGGCCACCAAAUUUGUACUAAAGAGUUAACU
rfam:Aedes aegypti strain Liverpool supercont1.1011 genomic scaffold, whole genome shotgun sequence.